rnacentral:rRNA from 1 species
GUAGUCUCGCACAGAUGCAUAUCAAUAAGCGGAGGAAAAGAAACUAACAAGGAUUCCCCUAGUAACGGCGAGUGAAGCGGGAAGAGCUCAAAUUUGAAAUCUUAAAGGGUUUCCCUUUACGAAUUGUAGUUUAAAGAAGUGUUUUCUGUUGAGGUUUUGGUAAAAGUUCUUUGGAAUAGGACAUCAUAGAGGGUGAGAAUCCCGUAUUUGACCUUUACUUUCAACUUUGUGAUACACUUUCAAAGAGUCGGAUUGUUUGGGAAUGCAGUCCAAAAUGGGUGGUAAAUUUCAUCUAAAGCUAAAUAUUGGCGAGAGACCGAUAGCGAACAAGUACCGUGAGGGAAAGAUGAAAAGAACUUUGAGAAGAGAGUUAAACAGUACGUGAAAUUGUCAAAAGGGAAGCGUUUGACACCAGUGUUGUUUUUCUGAAAAUCAAUUAAAGAACUGUUUAUGCUAAGCUGUUUAGACUUUAUCAGCUAACUGUUUAGUUUUGAGCUUUUCUUUAAUGCACUUUUCAGUUAACAAGUCAACAUCAAUUUCUUUUGCUGUGAAAAAGCUUGAGGAAGGUGGCUUGAGAUUCGUCUUAAGUGUUUAUAGCCUCUUGCCUAUGCAGUCGGAGAGAUUGAGGUCUGCAGCGUAGAUCCUUCGGGGCUAAAUGCAUUUGUGCUAAGUUAUAGCAUUUUAUAGACAACUUGUUGACUAUGAUUUGUCUUGUAGCUUACUCGCUUAUGUUAUUUUACCUACGCUUAGGAUGUUGAAGACUCUACAGAGAUA